rnacentral:rRNA from 1 species
AUUGAACGCUGGCGGCAGGCCUAACACAUGCAAGUCGACCGAGUGGCGGACGGGUGAGUAAUGUCUGGGGAACUGCCCGAUGGAGGGGGAUAACUACUGGAAACGGUAGCUAAUACCGCAUACUAUCAGAUGAACCCAUAUGGGAUUAGCUAGUUGGUGGGGUAAAGGCUCACCAGGGCGACGAUCUCUAGCUGGUCUGAGAGGAUGACCAGCCACACUGGGACUGAGACACGGCCCAGACUCCUACGGGAGGCAGCAGUGGGGAAUAUUGCACAAUGGGCGCAAGCCUGAUGCAGCCAUGCCGCGUGUAUGAAGAAGGCCUUAGGGUUGUAAAGUACUUUCAGCGGGGAGGCGUUACCCGCAGAAGAAGCACCGGCUAACUCCGUGCCAGCAGCCGCGGUAAUUC